rnacentral:rRNA from 1 species
GUAUAAGAGACAGCAGUAGCCGCGGGAAUACGUAGGGUGCGAGCGUUAAUCGGAAUUACUGGGCGUAAAGCGUGCGCAGGCGGUUCGUUAAGACAGAUGUGAAAUCCCCGGGCUUAACCUGGGAACUGCAUUUGUGACUGACGGGCUAGAGUAUGGCAGAGGGGGGUAGAAUUCCACGUGUAGCAGUGAAAUGCGUAGAGAUGUGGAGGAAUACCGAUGGCGAAGGCAGCCCCCUGGGCCAAUACUGACGCUCAUGCACGAAAGCGUGGGGAGCAAACAGGAUUAGAUACCCCCGUAGUCCCUGUCUCUUAUAC